UUUGAGUCCAAGAACAGUUGAGUCCAAGCUGAAAUUAGAUUGAGUCCUUGCAAUAAGUGAUUUGAUUCACAAUAGGUUAGCCUCUUCAGUGUCAAUUAGAUUGAGUCCAAGGCGUGAAUGGGUCCAUGGCUAAUUAGAAGUGGUCACAUGUCAAAAUAAAGAGAAGUUCAACCAUGAAGACCUCUCACAUGUGGAAGAAAUUCAAAGUUCAGAUCCAGUU
rnacentral:lncRNA from 1 species